rnacentral:rRNA from 1 species
UACGUAGGGGGCAAGCGUUGUCCGGAUUUAUUGGGCGUAAAGAGCGUGUAGGCGGUUUGGUAGGUCCGCUGUGAAAACUCGAGGCUCAACCUCGGGACGCCGGUGGAAACCAUCAGACUAGAGUCCGGAAGAGGAGAGUGGAAUUCCGAGUGUAGAGGUGAAAUUCGUAGAUAUUCGGAAGAACACCAGUGGCGAAGGCGACUCGCUGGACAAGUAUUGACGCUGAGGUGCGAAAGCGUGGGGAGCAAACAGG